rnacentral:piRNA from 1 species
GGAUGCAAUAAUGAUUGUUUCACAUUCUAAU